AAAAAUGUUAUUGCUUCUUAGAAAAAAAAAGAAUGUCUAUGUGAUUCUAAACAUUUUUUUUGUUUGAAUAAAAAUGUUCAUGCUGGAAAAAAAAUCAAUGCUUGGAGGUCACAGAGAUCAAUUCAUGUGGUAUAUACUACACGACCAAAAACUGGUUAGUAAUAUCAUACUUCCUGAAUUCAGAAAGUAGGAUCUAUUUCUUGCGUAGGUUAAAUCUGCAAUGAUUCAAAUAAGGCUGCAUAGGAGCAAAUGCCAUAUUUCAUGUCUAAGCAUACGGAUGAUUGAAAUUUUACAUGUCCAAAACAAAAACUAAAUGUUACUGUAGACAAUAAGUGGUCCACUUAAAGCAUCUGUCUUCAGAGUUCCAAAAGUAGGAUCCAUUGCGUUGUGUAAGAUUAAGCUUGCAAUGAUUCAAAAUAUGUCUUAGACAAACAACAUAAUUUAUUUACUAUUAUGAAAUCGAACUAUUGACUUUUCAAUAAUAGCUGUUUGUGUAAGAAAAUAAUUAGUUUAUAUAUGGAGAAGUAACUUACUCUUUGGUCAGCCAAGAGUGCACUCAAGUGUCUCCCCUCUGUAACUCAUGUUUUGCUUCCACAAGUGAAGCAGCUUCAAAUAUAUUCACUUACCGGUUUUACA
rnacentral:lncRNA from 1 species